GAUGAACCAAAUAAGGGAUUUACGAACAGAGGGAGCAUGCAGCCCAGUCGACAUCACAAAAAGCUUAUAUCUUGAAGUUGUUAGAUACUGAAAAAUAAAGGCAUUAUAUAAGUGAGUCUUUUAGAUACUGUAGAAUAUGAAUUCGCUGCUUUCCAUUGUGCAUCUCAAGGUUAUUGCAUGUAUUGACUUAAUAGUUGUGUUGUAUGUGUGAUGUCUAGUCUUGUGAGACCUAAAUACAGUAGGCAAUCCACAAGCCUUCUAUAUUAUCAGUUGUGAUUAGUAAGAUCCCUUCUUCAUGAGAAAGUCUCUAUUCUUUUGGAAAAGGAGUAGAGACUGGUUUAGAUUCUAUAAGGUAUGUAUAUUUGAAUAUGUCAAGUGUAUACUUACAUUGAUUGAGAAUUGUUCCUUCAUUAGAUCUGGCAACCUCUAUACCCGAAAAUAAUGAACAAAGACCAAGUCUUUGAUAAUGAAUCUUCUAUUCAAAAAAGUUUUGAUAUUGAUAAUAUCUUGUUCAUACAGUCCACUAAUUAAUAGGUCAUUCACAUAAACUAUUAGGACUAGAAAGUGAUUGGCUGAAUCUUUAGUGAGCAAACAAUGAUUAAAAAAAAUAGAUUGUUUGAAGCCAUAGGACAAAAAGUUAGCUAUAAGUUUCUUAUUCCACUCUCUUCUAACUUGCUUAAGGCCAUACAGGCUCUUGACAAGCUCAUACUUCUCGUUGUUUAGCUCUUUGAUGUCCCUCAGAUGGUGCCAUAUAAAUAUCUUUUUCCAACUUCCUAUGUAAAUAGGAGAAAAAAUAUGAUGAAAAUCAAUUCCAGGUAAUUGAUUGAAGCCUUUGGCAACAAGCUUUGCCCUAUAUCUGUCUACCUUUCCAUCAAGUUUGUAUUUGACUAUGAUUACCUACUUUGAGCCAAUUAAUUUCUUUCCAGCUGGCAGUAGGGUAACGAUAGGAAUAUGGAGUAUUCUAGAAUAUAUUAUAACAGAAAGGAUAAGGUUUGUUGGAGAGAAUUGGAAGUAGAAACAUGUGACAGGACAACUAGCAAAGAGAGCAGAAAUUUGUAUAAAUAGAGGUAGAGGAGAAUGGAAAAGGGAUCUGGAAAAUAUCUCAGUUAUUCUCUGGUUAGAGGGGCAAGGUUCUUCUCUGCACGGGAAGCUUUUCUUGAGGGCUCUUAAGAGUCAUUUUAAUUUCUUUACUUGAUUCUUCUAUCGUUUAUAUUUCUGGUUGGGGAUUGUAAAUCUAUGAGGUGCUGCAUUACUGAGAGUUGUAUUGUUUUCAUUAUCAAUCAGUACAAGCUAUCAAUACUUAUUAGAUUCACUCCAUUGUUCUUCUAUUUUCAAUUCAUCUUUGUUCCUAACUCUAUCAAUUGGUUUGACCUGCCACUACCAGCUCCUCGCAAUCCACAAUAGAAAACAGAAUAGAAAAGAGAUUAGAAAAUCAUAGAAUCGAGCAUUUAAUUACUGAACUGUUAUUGAAGGAAGCAGUAGCUGGGAAUGAAAUAACUAUUCAUCGAUAUCUUCAUCCACAUCGGCCUAGUACUGAAUAUGAUGAUAGAGAUAUGUUUCUGCAAGACAUACAAUCCUUCACUAGCAACAUCGAAUUUCCUAAACUCCAUGGCCAAGAUCCGAACGAGUGGAUUGUUCAUGCCGAGCAAUACUUUGAAAAAUUUAUCAUUCAUUACGAGAUGAAGAUCUACAAGGUUCUUUCUACCUUGGAGGGACCUUUUUUUGACUGGUUUCGUGGGCUUCGAAAACAAAAUCCAUUCCCUUCCUGGGAACGAUUUAAAUAUGAGUUGUUGCAACAUUUUGGUGAAGCUAACGACAACCAUUCCACUGUAGAUUUCAUCGCCGAUGAAUUGAAAGGCUAAAAAACAGAGAUUGAGGAAGGGUUUGACACUUCUGCAAUGAUGGAGUUCAACUUCUUUGAAGAUGUUUUUCAGAGUUGUAUUUCCUAAACUCCAUGGCCAAGAUCCGAACGAGUGGAUUGUUCAUGCCGAGCAAUACUUUGAAAAAUUUAGCACUCAUUACGAGAUGAAGAUUUACAAGGUUCUUUCUAGCUUGGAGGGACCUUUUCUUGACUGGUUUCGUGGGCUUCGAAAACAGAAUCCAUUCCCUUCCUGGGAACAAUUUAAAUAUGAGUUGUUGCAACAUUUUGGUGAAGCUAACGACAACCGUUCCACUAUAGAUUUCAUCGCUGAUGAAUUGAAAGGCUAAAAAAUAGAGAUUGAGGAAGGGUUUGACACUUCUGCAAUGAUGGAGUUCAACUUCUUUGAAGAUGUUUUUUAGAGUUGUUUGAUUAGCGGAGCAUAAAAGGACCUUCAUGAGUGGUUGCAACUGCGUGGCUUUCUGAAUACGAUGCAAUCAAGUUUGCUUCGUUGCUCUCUGUUUGGGAAUUUGCUGAGAAAGAUGGAGAAUGGUGAUGGACUUAGGCUGAGAAUUGAUUUGCUUGAAGUGCGGGCCAUUAUUUCCCAUGGAAAUAAAUUGUUAGCCAACCCAUUUUUCUCCAGUCAAUAUUUUAAAGGGCCUUCUCCCAAACCUUCAGACCCACUCCACUUACUGUCAUCUCUUAGUUCAGUAGCAGCACAGAUGCCAAAAUCUAGCGAUGCUUCAUGGGAUUGUUGCUUCUUUCUUCAUGAUAGGAGGAUUGGGCUAUCAUCUAUGCAUGAAGCUAUUGUCUCCAUUGUCAGAAGUUUGUUUCACAAGUAGGUGCAUGGUGAAUCAAGAAGGUCAGGAUUUUUUUGGUUUGACAUGCAUAAAACAUUCAACGAUUUGGCUGCAAUUUAUUUCAACUAUUCGAAGUGAGUACAUUGAGGUAUUUUUCUAUUAUUUGCAAAUUGGAUUUUUUAUGAUAUUGUGUUCUCAAUGGGUCUAUGAUCUAGCUUAUGAAAUCUUAUUGUUAAUUUGGGUUCUCAUACCGUUGUGGAACAAUUGGGUUUUUUCCCUUUCGAAAAUACUAGACCCAUAAAAUUUUCACUUCAAUCAACCAUCAAUGUUCUCCUUAAUAUUUUUUGUGUUCAGUGAAUAUUUUCAUAAUUUUCUCAUUUAUAAAGGCCAAGGAGACCUAAAGUUUUUAACUGCGAUGCAACCAAAGAGGUGCAGCAAUGAAGGAUCUCCAUCUCAAGUUAGCAAAAAUUUAUAUAAAUAGAGGAAGAAGAGAAUAGAAAGGGGAUCUGGAAAAUACCUCAGUUAUUCUCUGGUUAGAGGGGCAGGGUUCUUCUCUGCACGGGAAGAUUUUUCUAGGGGCUCUUAGGAGUCAUUUUAAUUUCUUUGUCUAGUUCUUCUAUCAUUUAUAUUUCUGGUUGGGGAUUGUAAAUCUGUGAGGUACUGCAUUAAUAAGAGUUGUAUUGUUUCUAUUUUCAAUCAGUACAAGUUAUCAAUACUUAUCAGAUUCACUCCAUUGUUCUUUCUAUUUUCAAUUCAUCUGUGUUCCUAACUCUAUCAGGUAAGAACCCAGGUUUUGUUUGA